rnacentral:rRNA from 1 species
UACGUAGGGUGCAAGCGUUAAUCGGAAUUACUGGGCGUAAAGCGUGCGCAGGCGGCUUUGCAAGCCGGAUGUGAAAUCCCCGGGCUUAACCUGGGAAUGGCAUUCGGGACUGCAAGGCUGGAGUGCGGCAGAGGAGACUGGAAUUCCUGGUAUAGCAGUGAAAUGCGUAGAUAUCAGGAGGAAUACCGAUGGCGAAGGCAGGUCUCUGGGCUGACACUGACGCUCAUGCACGAAAGCGUGGGGAGCAAACAGG